GCUGAGCAAGCCAUGAGAGGCAAGCGGGAGCAGCACCCUCCAUGUCCUCUACAUCAGCUCCUGCCUCCAGGUUCCUGCCCUGUGUGAAUUCCUGUCCUGACU